CUUUAGGUCAAUAACCGAAGUCCGGAUCACUGCUGGGGUUAAAAGGGAAGCCGGUGCAAGUCCGGCACGGUCCCGCCACUGUAACACGGGUGGAAUCCAACGAGCCAUUGUGCGCCGAAAGCGUGCGAGAAGGCGGAUUCCGAUUCAUCUGAUCCAUCAUCGUAUAGCGUGCGAGCAAUCCGCGCAUCAACGGGGGUGCCGAUCGGCCCGUGAGUCAGGAGACCUGCCUCGCAGACCCGUUGCCG
rnacentral:ncRNA from 2 species